rnacentral:rRNA from 1 species
AUUGAACGCUGGCGGCAGGCCUAACACAUGCAAGUCGAACGGUAACAGGAAGAAGCUUGCUUCUUUGCUGACGAGUGGCGGACGGGUGAGUAAUGUCUGGGAAACUGCCUGAUGGAGGGGGAUAACUACUGGAAACGGUAGCUAAUACCGCAUAACGUCGCAAGACCAAAGAGGGGGACCUUCGGGCCUCUUGCCAUCGGAUGUGCCCAGAUGGGAUUAGCUAGUAGGUGGGGUAACGGCUCACCUAGGCGACGAUCCCUAGCUGGUCUGAGAGGAUGACCAGCCACACUGGAACUGAGACACGGUACAGACUCCUACGGGAGGCAGCAGUGGGGAAUAUUGCACAAUGGGCGCAAGCCUGAUGCAGCCAUGCCGCGUGUAUGAAGAAGGCCUUCGGGUUGUAAAGUACUUUCAGCGGGGAGGAAGGGAGUAAAGUUAAUACCUUUGCUCAUUGACGUUACCCGCAGAAGAAGCACCGGCUAACUCCGUG